ACCGUCAAGGCGCCAUUCACCGUGUGCCUUCGAAUAUUUUUUCAUUAUUUCCAUAUUAUGAUUGAAUAUUCGAAGGCACACGGUGAAUGGCGCCUUGACGGUG
rnacentral:pre_miRNA from 1 species